AUGCUCCCUAAAUGCCAGAGAGGCUGGGCUUGUCUCAGCCCUGCCUUGCUGUGUCACACAAAGCACAUUUGCAGUCAGAGGUGUCCCGUGUUCACCCAGCGUGCUGUGCUGAGGGCUGAGGAGGUUGAGGCAGUGUGCAACAAGAAACCCUGCAGAAGACUGGGAAAUAUGUGUGGUUCCAUUGCUCUUGACCUGAAAAAACAACUUUAUAAUGGCUUGAUUAACUCUGCUCUUCAUGAUGGACCCAGUGAUAAAAAAGUAAAAAAGCAUUUAGGUGUGGUGUUUAUGGUGAAACUGGAAGUUAAGUACUGCCUGCCAGGGGCAAUGACACAGUGUUCCUCCCAUUACCCUGGAGUCAUACUGCUCUUAAGUAGAGCUGAUGAUUGUCUGGGUGGGCUGAGGUGUGUCCAAAACAUCUUCCCAGUCACUGCCCUGAUACAGCCCCUCAUUCCCAUGUCGCACAGCCCCCGUUCCAUUCCGGCCAGAGCCCUCCCAUCAUUGUCUUUGCCCUGUUGCAUUUCCCACUGUUCCUUCCUGCCUGGCUGCAGGUGCUGUGGUCUUGUUCUGCCCUGCAGGACCCUGGGUUGGUUGGCUCCCCUGGGCCUGCCAGGCCUGGCAGUCUCCUCCACUGCCUCAUGGUGCUCAGGGACAUCCAUCUUGCCCCUCAGCACUGUCCCACAGUGGCUUCUGGGUCACAGAAUCCACCAGUGUCUUGUUCCAGCUGAAAAUAUCUGCCAUCCUCCUGUGUCCAGUGUCACCCUUUGUGCACACACUCUGUCCAAAAGCAUUUUUAAAGUCUUCUUUCCCCCAACAUUGCCAUGUUCCAGCUCUGUCUGCCUAACAGUGGCCCCUGUGUUCCCAUUCCACUUGGAGACAACAUCCCCAUGCUCCCAUUGGCCCUUGUGGAGCCAUUUCAGCCCUAGCUGCUGUUCCUCCAAACCCCACCUGGCUUUGAUCAGGCCACAAGGAAACAGUGCUGGAGGGAGGAAUGACAGAAACAAAACUUGA
rnacentral:lncRNA from 1 species